CUGCUGACAACGCUCUUGUGUUAGUGUUAAACAAAUCAAACCGCGACCAUGCGUCGCCAUAAAAUUAAUUGCAUCUGCACUGAUAUGCUCAGAUGCCAUAAUUA
rnacentral:antisense_RNA from 20 species